rnacentral:rRNA from 1 species
GACGAACGCUGGCGGCGUGCUUAACACAUGCAAGUCGAACGGAAAGGCCCUGCUUUUUUGGGCUGCUCGAGUGGCGAACGGGUGAGUAACACGUGAGUAACCUGCCCUUGACUCUGGGAUAACUUUAGGAAACUGGGGCGAAUACCGGAUACGAGCUCCUGCUGCAUGGUGGUGGUUGGAAAGUUUCGGCGGUUGGGGAUGGACUCUCGGCUUAUCAGCUUGGUGGUCGAGUAGUGGCUUACCAAGGCUUUGACGGGUAGCCGGCCUGAGAGGGUGACCGGCGACAUUGGGACUGAGAUAGGGCCCAGUCUCGUACGGGAGGCAGCAGUGGGGAAUAUUGCGCAGUGGGGGGAAGCCAGAGGAGGCGACGCCGCGUGCGGGAUGACGGGUUUCGGGUUGUAAACCGCUUUCGGCUGUGACGAAGCGUGAGUGACGGUAAUGAGUAAAGAAGCACCGGCUAACUACGUG